AGAGUUUGAUCCUGGCUCAGAACGAACGCUGGCGGCGCGCUUAACACAUGCAAGUCGAACGGGCCCGCAAGGGUCAGUGGCGAACGGGUGCGUAACACGUGGGUAAUCUGCCCUGGAGUUGGGGAUAACUCGCCGAAAGGCGAGCUAAUACCCGGUAAGCUCACGGUCUCCUCGGAGGCUGGGAGAAAAGGAGCAAUCCG
rnacentral:rRNA from 1 species